CGAGCGCCCCGCAAGGGGAGCGGCGAACGGGUGAGUAACGCGUAAACAAUCUGCCCGGAAAUGGGGGAUAACCAUCCCAACGGAUGGCUAAUACCGCAUAGGGUUAUCGGGUGGCAUUACCUGGUAACGAAAGGCUUCGGCCGUUUUCGGAUGAGUUUGCGUCCCAUUAGUUAGUUGGCGGGGUAACGGCCCACCAAGACCGCGAUGGGUAGCCGGCCUGAGAGGGUGUACGGCCACAUUGGGACUGAGAUACGGCCCAGACUCCUACGGGAGGCAGCAGUAGGGAAUUUUGCGCAAUGGGGGAAACCCUGACGCAGCAACGCCAUGUGAGGGAUGACGCAUUUCGGUGUGUAAACCUCUGUCAGCAGGGAAUAAAUGGUCCGUAAGGACAGUUGAAUGUACCUGCAAAGGAAGCCCCGGCUAACUUCGUGCCAGCAGCCGCGGUAAUACGAGGGGGGCAAGUGUUGUUCGGAAUCACUGGGCGUAAAGGGAGCGUAGGCGGGCGCUUAAGUGGGAUGUUUAAAACCGGGGCCCAACCCCGGAGCGGCAUUCCAAACUGGGCGUCUUGAAUAGGGGAGAGGUCGAUGGAAUUGGAGGUGUAGCGGUGGAAUGCCGUAGAGAUCUCCAAGAACACGGAUUGCGAAGGCAGUCGACUGGACCCAUAUUGACGCUGAGGCUCGAAAGCAUGGGGAGCAAACAGGAUUAGAUACCCUGGUAGUCCAUGCCAUAAACGAUGAAUACUAGGUAUGGGACCCGUCAACGGUUCCGUGCCGUAGCUAACGCGUUAAGUAUUCCGCCUGGGGAGUACGGUCGCAAGACUGAAACUCAAAGGAAUUG
rnacentral:rRNA from 1 species